GAUGAACGCUGGCGGCGUGCCUAAUACAUGCAAGUCGAGCGAACAGAUGAGGAGCUUGCUCCUCUGACGUUAGCGGCGGACGGGUGAGUAACACGUGGAUAACCUACCUAUAAGACUGGGAUAACUUCGGGAAACCGGAGCUAAUACCGGAUAAUAUAUUGAACCGCAUGGUUCAAUAGUGAAAGACGGUUUUGCUGUCACUUAUAGAUGGAUCCGCGCCGCAUUAGCUAGUUGGUAAGGUAACGGCUUACCAAGGCAACGAUGCGUAGCCGACCUGAGAGGGUGAUCGGCCACACUGGAACUGAGACACGGUCCAGACUCCUACGGGAGGCAGCAGUAGGGAAUCUUCCGCAAUGGGCGAAGGCCUGACGGAGCAACGCCGCGUGAGUGAUGAAGGUCUUCGGAUCGUAAAACUCUGUUAUUAGGGAAGAACAAAUGUGUAAGUAACUAUGCACGUCUUGACGGUACCUAAUCAGAAAGCCACGGCUAACUACGUGC
rnacentral:rRNA from 1 species